rnacentral:rRNA from 1 species
UACGGAGGGUGCAAGCGUUAUCCGGAUUCACUGGGUUUAAAAGGGUGCGUAGGUGGGCAAGUAAGUCAGUGGUGAAAUCUCCGGGCUUAACCCGGAAACUGCCAUUGAUACUAUCUGUCUUGAAUAUUUGUGGAGGUGAGCGGAAUAUGUCAUGUAGCGGUGAAAUGCUUAGAUAUGACAUAGAACACCAAUUGCGAAGGCAGCUCACUACUCAAUCAUUGACUCUGAGGCACGAAAGCGUGGGGAUCAAACAGG